ACCAGACUCCUACGGGAGGCAGCAGUGAGGAAUAUUGGUCAAUGGACGAGAGUCUGGACCAGCCAAGUAGCGUGAAGGAUGACUGCCCUAUGGGUUGUAAACUUCUUUUAUAUGGGAAUAAAAUGUUCCACGUGUGGGAUUUUGUAUGUACCAUAUGAAUAAGGAUCGGCUAACUCCGUGCCAGCAGCCGCGGUAAUACGGAGGAUCCGAGCGUUAUCCGGAUUUAUUAGGUUUAAAGGGAGCGUAGGUGGAUUGUUAAGUCAGUUGUGAAAGUUUGCGGCUCAACCGUAAAAUUGCAGUUGAAACUGGCAGUCUUGAGUACAGUUGAGGUAGGCGGAAUUCGUGGUGUAGCGGUGAAAUGCUUAGAUAUCACGAAGAACUCCGAUUGCGAAGGCAGCUUACUAAACUGCCACUGACAUUGAUGCUCGAAAGUGUGGGUAUCGAACAGGAUUAGAUACCCCAGUACU
rnacentral:rRNA from 1 species